CCUACGGGGGGCAGCAGUGAGGAAUAUUGGUCAAUGGGCGGGAGCCUGAACCAGCCAAGUCGCGUGAGGGACGACGGUCCUAUGGAUUGUAAACCUCUUUUGUCGGGGAACAAAGGCGCCCACGGGUGGGCGGAUGAGUGUACCCGAAGAAAAAGCAUCGGCUAACUCCGUGCCAGCAGCCGCGGUAAUACGGAGGGGGCAAGCGUUAUCCGGAUUUACUGGGUGUAAAGGGAGCGUAGACGGCGCUGCAAGUCCGGAGUGAAAGCCCAUGGCUUAACCAUGGUACUGCUCUGGAAACUGUGGAGCUUGAGUGCGGGAGGGGCAGGCGGAAUUCCUAGUGUAGCGGUGAAAUGCGUAGAUAUUAGGAGGAACACCGGCGGCGAAGGCGGCCUGCUGGACCGUAACUGACGUUGAGGCUCGAAAGCGUGGGGAGCAAACAGGAUUAGAUACCCUUGUAGUC
rnacentral:rRNA from 1 species